GGAACAAACACGACCCAUUCAGUCAG
rnacentral:misc_RNA from 1 species